rnacentral:rRNA from 1 species
UACGUAGGGUGCGAGCGUUGUCCGGAAUUAUUGGGCGUAAAGAGCUUGUAGGCGGUUUGUCGCGUCUGCUGUGAAAAUCCGGGGCUCAACCCCGGACUUGCAGUGGGUACGGGCAGACUAGAGUGUGGUAGGGGAGACUGGAAUUCCCGGUGUAGCGGUGAAAUGCGCAGAUAUCGGGAAGAACACCUAUGGCGAAGGCAGCUCUCUGGGACGGUACUGACGCUGAGACGCGAAAGCGUGGGGAGCGAACAGG